AGAAACAAGAAUACCCUGAGAAUCCGUUGGCUGUUGAAUGCCCACGAGAAAUACUAGGGAAACAUCCACCAAUCAGAGUGGCCGCGUGCCUACCAUCAACCAACUGUGUCAAGCCCGUGUUCAGUGAAGAGAAUAUAAUGUUUUUAUGUACAACUGACUGGUCCCAAGCAAGUUAUGAGCUGUUCUUCCGUUGGUAGGACGAGUAGUUGUUGAGUACUACGAGGGGCAAAAUUAUAUGGUGAAUAGUGAUAAAACACAAAAUGCAAUGAAAUUAAAACUAUAUGUACUUGAUACCAAACAAAUGAGGCUAAAUGCUUACAGAGAAAAAAAUGGAAUUUUCAUCAUUGCAUGUGGUUUUUUUUUAUUCACACUAUUAGUAUUGUAAUUAAAAUCUGAUAAAAUGUAAAAUUUAAAUUGGACUUUAUCCACUGUUAAUAUUUUGGUUCGUUAGCUCCUGUAACAAAGUUACUUUUUUUUUCAUAAAUGAAAUGUUAUAUGUAAUAGUAGUGACAUGUGUUAAACAUUCAAAAAAAUCGAAGUGACAUAGACAUAACUAUAAAUAUGAAGCCAUUAUAUCUUGCCUCUCUAGUACUGAUGAAACAAGAAUGUACCCGUGGAUGUGUUAAGUUCAUCCUUAUGUAUUCUUCUAAGAAGCAAUGGCCAAGCCUAUAAUGGACUUAAAUGUUGCAUGUGACAAGCUGAAACAUGUGAUAGUGUUAACCUAUGUUCUGGCUGUUUUUUAAGCCCAAGUCUUACACAUCAACUUCAUUAUUUCAUGAUGUUGUCAUUCAUGUUGAUUAAUUAGGAUCUUUUGCAUUUAUUGUUGUGCUACAAGUUUUCUCACCAGAUACUCUGCUAAAUUUUUUUUUUCAAGCUGUAAAAUGUUACGCUAUUGAACCCUGUUACAAAUCUUUUCAAGGGGGCACAAAGGAAGAAAAAACAUAAGUAGGAAAUAAGUACGUACAUCUGAUAAAACACUGGAAUGGCACGGAAAUCUUUUUUUCCCCAAGCAGGGGUGCCAACACACAUGAGUGAGAACAUUUUGUACUUUUGAUAUAUCCAUCUAUGAAAACAGUGGUUGUAAACAAAAAUGAAUGUAAACUUUUCUGUAGGCAUAGUUAGGUUUUUAAAACUUUUUAUUUUUGAAUUUUGGAAAGUAAUCAAGCAGGAAAUGAACCAUUCUGCUGCAUUUGUGAAACGUAAUGAAUACAUUGUCCUUGUGGGGAACAUUUCGGAGACUUACAUAAUAUGAUGGAAGAAGGAAAAAUAAGCAGGAAUAUUGUAACAGGGUUCUACUAUAAUUAUCAUGAAGUUGUAAAAUGUGAUGUAAGUGUAUAUCAUGUGAUAUUACUGAUAAAGCAGUUUCCAAGGACAUUAAGUUGAAACUCCUAACAAAAUAUUACUUAAUGCUAGGGAUGCGUGAGUACCCGAUAUUUUCGGGUAUGGUUUGAAUCCACAAUUAUCUGAACCCGAAAUCGGACGUACAUGGAUUCUAACAGUAUUACGAAUAUUCACAAAAGUUACAAAUUUAAUACGGCUCAAAAAUACUAGCAGUGAAAAAUAAAAUUAGGCUACUAUUACGUAAAGUAUUUAUAAUAUGAUGUAUCAAAGAAAGAUACUUAAACUAAAUAAUUCACACAGCGACAUUAAAAGAAUUUCCAGAGUUUAGACUAUAAUUACGAAUUUCGUUGUAUAGCACACUAUAAACUAAAAACAAUUACAUAUCUACAAGAAAAAAAUGUCUUGGCUAUUUAUUGCAGAAUAAAAUGCUUUCGUUUGGUGAAACGGAGAUUUUUCCCUGUGGCGUACAAUUGAGUUGGAGAAUCAAAUAUGUUUUGGUUUUCAGAUUUUAAAGUAUUAUUAAUUAAGUUUACAUAAUUAUAAACAUUUCAAUCUCAGUGUAAUAAAUAAUUGCCAGGAGUCAGUUAGAAAAGAGAGUACAUACAUUAUUUCUAAAAUAAUCAAUUAUUUUAAUUAUUCUGUGCUUAAUGUUUGGAAUCAGAUUCAUAUUUCAAAUAUUGCCAUAGAUUCGAAUCAGAUUCAAACCGAACUGAAAAUCUAGGAUUUGUACAGCCCUACUUAAUGCUCAAAACUUUCACAUGUUAAUUGAUAAUGAAAAAAUAAACAUGUGAAAGUUUUGUGUUUGAAGUAAUAAUUUGUUAGUUCAACUUAAUGUCCUUAUUGCAUG